rnacentral:rRNA from 1 species
GCCCAAGAGCUAGCCUAGCCACAUGGAACAAGCGACCAAGUAUAUAUAAAAAUGUUAAGAGCAUGAACUAAACCAUUCUUCCGCCUCAGUAUAGGAGAUAGAAAAGGAAGUAGUAGAGCUAUAGAUAAAGUACCGCAAGGGAAAGCUGAAAGAGAAAUGAAAUAUACCGGAGAAGCGGAACGAAGCAGGGAUUAAGACCCGUACCUUUUGCAUCAUGGUUUAGCAAGUAUUAGCUGAGCAAGGGGUACCCCAGCCCAGCCCCCCGAAACUAGACGAGCUACUCCGGGGCAGCCUGAUAUAAGGGCCAACCCGUCUCUGUGGCAAAAGAGUGGGAAGACCCCCGAGUAGGAGUGACAAACCUAUCGAGCCUAGUUAUAGCUGGUUGCUUAAGAAAUAAAUAUAGUUUAGCCUCAUAAGAUUCUCAUACCAAACAUUGGUUUAAGGAGUGGAGUAAUAAAUGAGAGUUAAUCGAAGGAGGUACAGCUCCUUUGAGAAAGGACACAACCUUAACAGGUGGAAAAGAAGUUACAACGAAGGCUUGUCUCCACAGUGGGCCCAAAAGCAGCCACCUAUACAGAAGGCGUUAAAGCUCAGGAAAACAAACCGCCAAUAAUUACAGUAAUAUAUCCCAUAUCCCCUAACGAUAUUAAGCCUCCCUAUUAACUUAUAGGAGAGAAAAUGCUAGAAUGAGUAAUAAGGGGGCAAGAGGGCCCCCUCCGAGCGCAAGUGUAAGUCAGAUUGGACAAGCCACUGAUAGAAAACGGACCCAUACAAGAGGGUAAUACAAAGGGACACUGAUGAGCAGGAAAACCUUGAAGGACUAAACCGUUAUACCUACACGGGAGCGCGACCAAGGAAAGAUUAAAAGGGGGGGAAGGAACUCGGCAAUAGAUUAAGCCCCGCCUGUUUACCAAAAACACCGCCUCUAGCCAAACGACGACGUAUUGGAGGUUCCGCCUGCCCAGUGACUAUAUGUUCAACGGCCGCGGUAUUUUAACCGUGCAAAGGUAGCGUAAUCACCUGUCUUUUAAAUGAAGACCUGUAUGAAUGGCAUCACGAGAGCUUGACUGUCUCCCCCCCCCGAUCAAUGAAAUUGACCUGUCCGUGCAGAGGCGGACAUAAUAACAUAAGACGAGAAGACCCUAUGGAGCUUUAGGAUAAGGGACAACCACGUGAAGGGGCUAAAUUAAAUACUACAAGAGUAAGCUUUAAACCUAGUGGCCAAUGAUCCAAAUCCUUAGGUUGGGGCGACCGUGGGGCAGAGAGAAGCCCCCACAUGGAAUGAAGACUCCCUAUUUCUUUAAAACUAAGAAAAACGAUUCGAAGCAGCAGAAUAUCUGACCAAAAAUGACCCGGGACAAAUAACACCUGAUCAUUGAACCAAGUUACCCUAGGGAUAACAGCGCAAUCCCCUCUUAGAGUCCUUAUCGACGAGGGGGAUUACGACCUCGAUGUUGGAUCAGGACAUCCUAAUGGUGCAGCCGCUAUUAAGGGUUCGUUUGUUCAACGAUUAAUAGUCCUACGUGAUCUGAGUUCAGACCGGAGAAAUCCAGGUCGGUUUCUAUCUAUGAAGCAACUUUUUCCCAGUACGAAAGGGCCGGGGGGGGAGGGUCAAUACUCAAAGAAGACCCUACCCUAGUUUUCUGAAGAAAUAUAAAGACGCCAAAGGGAACAACCAAAAAGCCAAAGACAAUGGUAGGCUAAG